UGAGAAACUGCUCCUCUUUUAUUAUGUUUAUGAUCAACUGAGGUAAAAUUAAAUAGGCUGACAGGUGCCACAGAGCCUGCGAAGAUGCAGUGGCCUUGGCAACAAUCACGGUCUUUGGAGCACCGUGCCAAGGUACCCCCGCAUCCUUCGAGGAGUUUCCUAGUGACAAUCCCGUUCUCCCCUGGAUAUUUUAUUAGCAAAACUUAUGGUUAGAGAUCUGAAUUUUAACUUACCUGUUGCAAGUGUCAUCG
rnacentral:lncRNA from 1 species